GAAGUGCGAUAUCUAGUGUGAAUUGCAGAACGCCGUGAAUCAUCAAACUUUUGAACGCAGUGCGUCUGUUAGCUUUGGCUAACAGGCAUGCCUGUUUGAGUGUCGGUACUUUUCUCUCUUCAUUUGCCAAAUUCAAUGGCCAAUUGAAGGACUUGAGAGUAUAAUGUACGCAUUAUUCUCUUGAAAUUCAUUUGCAUUUUUUUGUUUUUAGCUCUCAGAACAAGCACAAUGUGGUAAUCACAGUGCAGCUCAGAGUGCCAAAAGCUAAGGAUGCAAACGGUACUUACAAUUUUAAACUUCGACCUCAAAUCAGGCAAGGAAACCCGCUGGAUUUAA
rnacentral:misc_RNA from 1 species